rnacentral:rRNA from 1 species
AUUGAACGCUGGCGGCAUGCCUUACACAUGCAAGUCGAACGGCAGCACGGGUGCUUGCACCUGGUGGCGAGUGGCGAACGGGUGAGUAAUACAUCGGGACGUACCUUAUCGUGGGGGAUAACGCAGCGAAAGCUGUGCUAAUACCGCAUACGCCCUGAGGGGGAAAGCGGGGGAUCGCAAGACCUCGCGCGAUUAGAGCGGCCGAUGCCUGAUUAGCUAGUUGGUGGGGUAAAAGCCCACCAAGGCGACGAUCAGUAGCUGGUCUGAGAGGACGAUCAGCCACACUGGGACUGAGACACGGCCCAGACUCCUACGGGAGGCAGCAGUGGGGAAUUUUGGACAAUGGGGGCAACCCUGAUCCAGCAAUGCCGCGUGAGUGAAGAAGGCCUUCGGGUUGUAAAGCUCUUUUGUCAGGGAAGAAACACCGGCUCUAACACAGUCCGGGAACGACGGUACCUGAAGAAUAAGCACCGGCUAACUACGUGCCAGCCGCCGCGGUAA